rnacentral:snRNA from 1 species
GUGCUUUCUGCGGCACAGAUACUAAAAUUGGAACGAUACAGAGAAGAUCAGCAUGGCCCCUGCGUAAGGAUGACACGCAAAUUCCUGAAGCAUUUCAUAUAUAU